rnacentral:lncRNA from 1 species
AUAGAUUUUUUAUAGGUUUGAAUGGAUUUUGGUGCACUUGAAUGGGUUGGAUUUGGGUUUUUGGAUGGUUUGAAUAGGUUUGGAUUUUAUGGUGGACUAGAUUGGUGAUGGGCUUAAAUUUUAUUUGUGGACUAGAUUGGAUUGGACUCGGGUUUUAUUUGUGGACUGGAUUGGAUUGGGCUUGAAUUUUAUUUGCGGACUGAAUUGGAUUGGGUUCGGAUUUUAUUUGUAGACUGGAUUGGAUUAGGCUCAGGUUUUAUUUGUGGACUGGAUUGGAUUGGGUUCGGGUUUUAUUUGUGGACUAGAUUGGAUUGGGCUCGGAUUUAUUUGUGAAAUAUUUUUUAAAAUUUUACUAUAAUUAAUUUUGGGGUCAGAAAAAAUUCUCUUUUUAAUUUUAUUGCAAUUCAAUUUUGGGCUCCGAAGAAAUUCUCUUUUUAGUUUUAUUGCAAUUUGAUUUUGUGGUCUGAAGAAAUUCCUUUUUUAAUUUUAUUGCAAUUCGAUUUUGGGUCCAAAGA